UCUCUGGGUAGUUUCGUUUUGUUUUGGGGAACUUGGGAUUUACAGCCUUUCUGCGACCCUCAGUUCUUGCUGUGAACUCGUCAUGUUGUUGAAUCUUUAACUCGAUGAUGGAUCGUCAGGAAUCGAUCUUCUUCCUCUCUUUAGUGAUAAUCUCUGCUGCUGCUGAUCCACUGAAGACCCUGAGAGCCUCUGUAGGAGGAAACAUCACUCUGCCCCAUGCUGUGAAGGAGGAAGGAUUUCUGUUAUAUGGAAGAAAGAGUUUAGCUCUGGUGUAUGAGAAGAAACUGUAUCAGAUAUAUGGAGAAAAUUACAAGGACAGACUUCACUGGAACCAGAACACAGGACGUUUUACUCUCACCAGGCUGCAGAAGAAUGACUCUGGGAUCUAUACAGUUGACUCGAAGGAAGGAAGACGUGCUUCAGUAGAAUAUGAACUGAUGGUGUACGACCCUGUACAGACCCCUAAUGUCAGUGUGUUGAACAGAAGCUCUGAGAGCUGCUCUCUGAGCUGCUCUGUGGACUCAGCUCAGGAGGACACCACGCUGCUGUGGUCCAAAGACCAGGAGAUCCUGAAGAAGAAGCGCUCUGCUGCUUCUCUGUCUCUGACUUGUUUCGACUGGCAGGACCUGAACUCUUCUCUUCAUUGUGUGGCUGAAAACCCUGCAGAGAAUAAAACAGUUUCAGUUGAUGUGAGGAGGUUCUGUCCACUGAAACAGAGACGGAACACCAGCAGCUCCACAGACCCCAGGCAUCAUUUGAUCCUCAUCAUCAUCUCCACAGUGUGUGGUCUCAUCGUAUUACUCUGUGUUUAUUUCAUCUGGAGGUCGAGGUCGAGACAAACAGAAGGCAGAAGUAGAGUACGCUGACGUCCAGAUCCGUGACAACAGAUACACUGAGCUCCCACGACGACCAUCAGAAUCUGAGCGUCCAACUCUGACGACCGUUUAUGAUGAGCUGAUGUUCAGUCGCACAGACUCUGCUGAACAUGUAUGGCGUUAAACUGACAAAGGCUGAAUCCCAUUUCAUCCCUUAGCCCUCCCCCUUGGCCCUCCCCCUCCAUUUUGCGUGUUCACGUGGGGGGGGAGGGUGUCCCAAUUGUCAUUAUGACGGAGGAGCGGGGGGGAAGUGGUAGGGCUAUGCACCCCUCCAAACGGAGAUUCUCCCGAGGCACACUCCAGACGGAGGGGUAUGACAGAUUUCCCAGAAAGCCUUGCAAGAUCGGUAAGAUGGCGGCGUCUGUAACGAAAGAAGUUCAUAAAUGUGAGUAUUUUCUCGAUGAGUAAAGUUUCAACAUGUAAGAAAAACAUUCUUCUUCGGCAAACAAUUGUCGCAUCUGCCUACGUCAUCGGCAGCGCAGCGGCAACUACUGAUGACGUACGCGAUUGUGGAAGGGGUUUCCCAAUUCGGAGGGGUUUACUUUCGGCCCUACCCCUGAGCACUCCAUUUCAAAGGGGUAGGGGCAAGGGGUAGGGCUAAGGUGGAGGGCUAGAAAGAGAAAUAGGAUUGGGCCAAAGGAUCCAAACACUGGACAGUGGCCACGGUUACGUGGUGUUUUUAAUUAAAAAUUACUUUAUUCCGAAUGAAAUAAUUCUGAGUUGCAAUUAUUGGCUUCAUGUUUACAUGGGAAAAUCAAAGCAUUAAAUCCACUUUCAUACUGGGGGUUGCGAAGCAUUCUGAUUGGACAGGGGGCGGACAUGACAUACUGACCUCUACUGGAAGUAAACAGACGACCGAAAUGAAGUCAUGUCUAAUUUACUUAUAAUUCCACUCCUGAAUGGGUCUGUUGACAUGGGACUUUUAAUUCCUCUUUAAGUCUGAAUAAAAGUCAGUUUUGCUCUUAGAUGACCAUGUAAACACCUGAAAUCUUUAUUUGGAAUUAGGUUUAAUUGUUAACUUCAUUCCGGUUGUUCUGCACAUGCUCAUUCCUUCGUGAUGAUGCAAUUUAAUAUUCGUUAAGAACCCAACCCCAACGUCUGACAACAAAAAGCUUUUCUUUGUACUUGUGCUCACUGGUCUGUUUGAACUGUUCACCACCUGCUGACUGAUAAUCUACUGGGCAGGUGGAGGAGAUAAGCUGAGUUCAGUUUUCCUCACAGGAAAGAGGAAGCGAAUCAUUGAUAUGAGGUCACACGCAAAUGCAGACUCACAUUCACCUGUGUUCAUGUGAUGCUCGUGUUACACCUGAUUAUGUUUUAAAGAAAUCUGUAUAAUUCAUGGAUAUCAAACAUAUGGGCUGCGGGCCAGAACUGAUCAGCAGACAGCAACGCUCAGACUGAGGGAUCAGUCAUGCUUUGGACCUUUUGAUGGUCGUUUUAUUUUUUCAUCCAGUUAUCAUUUUUAUACAUAUUUACUAUUAUUGUGUUUCUAUUUGAGCAUUUUUCCUUCCAAGCCUCACUGAGGUGAAACACCUGAGAUGAUUCUGACGGAAUUAACUGCUGUGUGUAAAGUUUUGUUGGAUGGAGCUGAAGGAAACAGCAGAGGCUGAAGGUGCUGCAGCGCCUCCUGGUGGAUGUCAGAGGACCUGCACAUGUACCGCUCAAAACAGGCAUAAAACUGCAAAUCAAGAACGAAAAAAAAAUCGCUCUUUUACAAAACAAAAUCAAAAAGAUUAGAAUAAAAAUAUCAGAUAGAUGGAUGAUGAUUUCAGUUCUGUUUCAUAAUGGCUCAUGUUAUAUUUAACACACAUCAUCAGCAUGAUGUUUAUUGAUGAGACUUAAUGGUAUCCUUGUAAAAGUGGGAACAGAUUGGUGUGAAUCUGAUGUACAGGGUUACAGAGGAGAAAAAUACACUUGUUUGUGUGUCUCCCAUUUGAAGCAGAGCAUUCAUCCAUCUGUCCAAAAAAAUGUCUUUUUGGUUUAAUUUGUGUGAAAACAUAAAAAUGUAAGCUUAUGUCUGUUGUGGCUUUUUUAUUUGUUUGUACUUGUGUAGGUUCAGUAAACACUGUUCAUGUUAACCUGGUUAUUGAACUGUUCUUGGUUCAGGAUGUGGUUUAGCUCUCUGUGGUAACUUCAGCUGGAACAAUGUUGAUUUGAUUUGAUUCAGUGUUUCUCUGUCAAAGAUAACACUGGAAGAAGUUGAACCCAGAGAGUUUCAUGCAGAGGCACAACAAUAAUAAAAGAACACACCACUCUU